GUCGAACGGAGCACCCCUGAUGGAGUUUUCGGACAACAGAUGGGAAUGCUUAGUGGCGGACGGGUGAGUAACGCGUGAGGAACCUGCCUUGGAGAGGGGAGUAACACAGUGAAAAUUGUGCUAAUACCGCAUGACGCAGUUGGGCCGCAUGGCUCUGACUGCCAAAGAUUUAUCGCUCUGAGAUGGCCUCGCGUCUGAUUAGCUGGUUGGUGGGGCAACGGCCCACCAAGGCGACGAUCAGUAGCCGGACUGAGAGGUUGACCGGCCACAUUGGGACUGAGACACGGCCCAGACUCCUACGGGAGGCAGCAGUGGGGAAUAUUGGGCAAUGGGCGCAAGCCUGACCCAGCAACGCCGCGUGAAGGAAGAAGGCUUUCGGGUUGUAAACUUCUUUUAUGAGGGACGAAAGAAAUGACGGUACCUCAUGAAUAAGCCACGGCUAACUACGUGCCAGCAGCCGCGGUAAUACGUAGGGGGCAAGCGUUAUCCGGAUUUACUGGGUGUAAAGGGAGCGUAGACGGCAAGGCAAGCCUGGAGUGAAAGGCGGGGGCCCAACCCCCGGACUGCUCUGGGAACUGUCUAGCUAGAGUGCAGGAGGGGUAAGUGGAAUUCCUAGUGUAGCGGUGAAAUGCGUAGAUAUUAGGAGGAACACCAGUGGCGAAGGCGGCUUACUGGACUGUAACUGACGUUGAGGCUCGAAAGCGUGGGGAGCAAACAGGAUUAGAUACCCUGGUAGUCCACGCCGUAAACGAUGAUCACUAGGUGUCGGGUGUUAAGGAACGCUCGGUGCCGCAGCAAACGCAAUAAGUGA
rnacentral:rRNA from 1 species